rnacentral:lncRNA from 1 species
GAAGUCAUUCUGAUGUAGCACAUUGAUAUAUGAUAUAUGAGAAAUAUGUCUAUACAACAUUUAAAAACGUUAGUGUUCCUUCCUUUCCCUUCUCUCUCCUCGCUCUAGAAAAGAAAUUGGCGCCUAAAUUGCCCAGAGUACAAGCCGCUGCACUACCCCCCUUCAGUGUGCAACCAAAGGGCACACUACUCAAAGCACAGGCAGAUACAAGUUGAUGGCCUAAACAGAAAUGCUGAUAAGCUUCAAUACCGCCGAUGGU